UUGAUGGCGACCGGCGCACGGGUGCGUAACGCGUAUCCAAUCUACCGCAUACUCGGGGAUAGCCUUGCGAAAGUAAGAUUAAUACCCGAUGUUGUGCAUUGCCCGCAUGGGCGGUGUACCAAAGAAUUUCGGUAUGCGAUGAGGAUGCGUCCCAUUAGGUAGUUGGUGAGGUAACGGCUCACCAAGCCUCCGAUGGGUAGGGGUUCUGAGAGGAAGAUCCCCCACACUGGAACUGAGACACGGUCCAGACUCCUACGGGAGGCAGCAGUGAGGAAUAUUGGUCAAUGGGCGAGAGCCUGAACCAGCCAAGUAGCGUGCAGGAUGACGGCCCUCUGGGUUGUAAACUGCUUUUAUACGGGGGUAAAAAACGCCACGUGUGGCGUCUUGCAAGUACCGUAAGAAAAAGGACCGGCUAAUUCUGUGCCAGCAGCC
rnacentral:rRNA from 1 species